rnacentral:rRNA from 1 species
ACGCCGUAAACGAUGUCUACUUGGAGGUUGGUGUCUUGAACACUGGCUUUCGGAGCUAGCGCGUUAAGUAGACCGCCUGGGGAGUACGGUCGCAAGAUUAAAACUCAAAUGAAUUGACGGGGGCCCGCACAAGCGGUGGAGCAUGUGGUUUAAUUCGAUGCAACGCGAAGAACCUUACCUACUCUUGACAUCCACGGAAUCCUGCAGAGAUGCGGGAGUGCCUUCGGGAACCGUGAGACAGGUGCUGCAUGGCUGUCGUCAGCUCGUGUUGUGAAAUGUUGGGUUAAGUCCCGCAACGAGCGCAACCCUUAUCCUUGUUUGCCAGCACUUCGGGUGGGAACUCCAGGGAGACUGCCGGUGAUAAACCGGAGGAAGGUGGGGACGACGUCAAGUCAUCAUGGCCCUUACGAGUAGGGCUACACACGUGCUACAAUGGCAUAUACAGAGGGCAGCAAGACCGCGAGGUGGAGCGAAUCCCACAAAGUAUGUCGUAGUCCGGAUUGGAGUCUGCAACUCGACUCCAUGAAGUCGGAAUCGCUAGUAAUCGUGGAUCAGAAUGCCACGGUGAAUACGUUCCCGGGCCUUGUACACACCGCCCGUCACACCAUGGGAGUGGGCUGCACCAGAAGUAGAUAGCUAACCUUCGGGAGGGCGUU